AUAAUAAUAAUAAUAAUUACUAAAAAUUGUUCUGAAUCCAUUUAUGCAUGCCAUAUUGCCAUUAAUGGAGCAUAUAGCAAAAGCCAAAAACACCAACAAAAUCAAGUAAUUGACCCUGAUUUUGAACUGCUCUUUAAAAAUAGUCCAAUGCACACGAGAUUAAUACUACAGAAUAAAACUUUAACAUUACAAUCAUUACAAAUAUUACAUCACGCUAUUAUCGAAAGGGAGUACAAUACAUCGAAACACACAACAUAGAAUUAAGUCAAAGAUUAUUUAUUUGUUUAUUAUUCAGCAACCUUCACACCUGAGAGAUAAACGCGGCUCUGAAUCACAGUGCCUCCUAUCCAAAAACCAGGCAUGACCAUUAGCCCAACGAUAGGCUUCUGGUUUUCAUCCAUUAUCAGAUUUUUCACAACACUUUCCAUGUAAACCUCAGAGAAUUCACUACCUCUCUUAACCUGAAAGACCUUGACAUUAGGAUCAAAAGAAUAUGCUAAACUGUGCAGAAGCCAGAUUGACUUGGCCAAUUUUAAGAAAGCUUGGUAAAAGGGAGUUCUUGGAUGCCCACCCCCCAUUACAUAAUUUCGCUGAUCCAAAUUUCCAAAGAAUGACGCUUCCAUCUUUGGAUGAACCACUGCCAGGUACUUGCUCCUGCAAAAUUUACCAAAAAUGGAAUCUGGGUUCUGACCGAGAACAUCUAAUGGAUCCAUCUCCCUUAGUGCAAGAAAUUGGUGAAAGAAACUCUCUUUGGUGAAUGUCACAUUGUCUGAUUUUAUAGAAAAACUUUCCUGCUGAAACCCACUGAACAUUCUUUGACAUAUAUGAGAUUCAAAAGCAUACUUUUUGUGAGCUCUCUUCGCAUAAAAAACAUCAGGUUCAAUAGAGUUAGCAGCAGCAUCAAGAUCCCACCCAGCUGCUUUCAUCAUGUUGAUCAAAGGCUUAGAAAAAUCAUGAAUGGCUUUGAAAGCUGCUUCCACAGCAAAUAUGAAGAGCUCAGGCGUGAGAUCCACCGGAAAAAAUCCAUUUUCAUCUCCAGAACCUUCAGAUUCUUUGGUUGACAAGCCCCUAAGCUUAAGAUUCUUUUCCAGUUUCCCUCGCUUCUGAGUUGCCUCCUCAAUCUGCUGCUGUAACUGAAGAAUCUCAGCAUCUUUAUUUUGAAUUUCAGAUUGGAAUUUCUUCACCAUUACCUCAUAUGUUUUCAGUAGGCUCUGUUGUUCCUGAAUCUCUGCAGCUAAGCGAGAGUCCUGAGGGGAAACGCAUACUGGUUUUGGAUAGUUCUCCCUGUAAAAAUGCUUGAGCUCAGAUAGGUUCUUCAGUUCAGAAAUUACAAGUUUGUCAGCAGCCUGGAUUUUUUCAGGAUCAUAUGGAGUAUGAGCAGAUUGAAGCUGUAUGUAUGCUGACUUCAAGGAGGAGAUGUUUGUAAAUAUUUUGGAUAUCAAAGCUUCCACAGCUUCAGGAUUUUGAUUAAUAGACUCUUCCAUAGGUUGAGGGUGGACCUUUUGGCUGUUGCUCUCACGGAGUUGGUUAUCUUUCAACCCAGUGGGUAGCAUAGCUACUGCUAAAGAAUGGGUGGUCAAAUAGGACUCCUUCAGAAAUAGCACCAAUAUAGCACAACCUACAAAGAUCACAAACCGCCCUCAGAAUGUAUCCAGCAAACAUAAUACCCUCCAACCUGAAAAUAGAAAUAAAAGAAAUUAGAUUAUUCCAACUGUCCUAAUAUGUUUCUUAAGCAGGUUAAUGCACAUACAAUUCAUCAUGAACAUCAAAUUCAGUAGUAAGUGCUCAAACACAAAAAGUGAAGAAUCUUUCUUGUGAAAUGCCAAUGUAGCCAGAAAAUUUGUGAGUGGAGCAGCCAACACUAGUAAGCCAAUUUGUACAACAUUACCAAAUCUCUGACACAUCACAACUUCCAAAAUAUUGAUUGUGAAAAUAUUUCCAUUUGUGUUUGAUAGCUAGAACCUAGAACAUAGAAUAGGUUUUUUUUGCCUAUCAAACUAUGUAUGCUGAAGGGGCAAUAAAAUUGUAUCACACAGAAAAGAUUAAAAUUUUAGAGAAUUACAAUCAUAUUAAGAAUUUUAGAGAAUUACAAUCAUAUUAAGGGGGAAGAUACAACCGAAGACCUGUAGUCUCCCAAAUUUACACAGGCUCUCUCCAUGUAAGCUUCUAAACCCCAUCAAUUGAUACUGAGCUAAGAAUAGCUGAUUACCAAUUCAGCAUUCCCAAUGUAUCGACUGAUAAAGCAAAUCAAACUCCUAGUUAAUAAAACAUCCCGCUAUCAUUCAACAACCGCACAGAGAAACACACAAAAGCAAUCAAACGAACGCCUAAUUUGAUGCCAAAUAGUCGAUUUUCUUGAGUCGCACCACCUGAAACAACAGAGAUUCCUAAAGAAUUUUUUUAAUUCCUUUAGAGCCAAAGUGAUAAAGAGCUCUAGAAUCAGCUAAGCUAGCUUACAAUUGUGAAUGUAAAAUUUGACGUUCAUGCGAUUUCGCUUGAUAUGUAGGAAGACGACAAGGAUGAGGAAAAGAAUGUA
rnacentral:misc_RNA from 1 species